GACGAACGCUGGCGGCGUGCUUAACACAUGCAAGUCGAACGAGAGCGUAGAGAAAGCUUGCUUUUUCUACAAUCUAGUGGCAAACGGGUGAGUAACGCGUAAACAACCUGCCCUACGUAUGGGGACAACAGCUGGAAACGGCUGCUAAUACCGAAUACGUUCCGAAAGUCGCAUGACUAUCGGAAGAAAGGAUGGCCUCUAUUUAUAAGCUAUCGCCGGAGGAGGGGUUUGCGUCUGAUUAGCUAGUUGGAGGGGUAACGGCCCACCAAGGCGACGAUCAGUAGCCGGUCUGAGAGGAUGAACGGCCACAUUGGAACUGAGACACGGUCCAGACUCCUACGGGAGGCAGCAGUGGGGAAUCUUCCGCAAUGGGCGAAAGCCUGACGGAGCAACGCCGCGUGAGUGAAGACGGCCUUCGGGUUGUAAAGCUCUGUUAUACGGGACGAAUAAUCUUGUGGUUAAUACCCAUGAGAAGUGACGGUACCGUAAGAGAAAGCCACGGCUAACUACGUG
rnacentral:rRNA from 1 species